UACGAGGGGGCGAGCGUUGUUCGGAAUUAUUGGGCGUAAAGGGUGCGUAGGCGGUUUGGUAAGUCUUAUGUGAAAUCUACAGGCUCAACUUGUAGUCUGCAUGAGAAACUGCCGGGCUUGAGUAUGGGAGAGGUGAGUGGAAUUCCUGGUGUAGCGGUGGAAUGCGUAGAGAUUCGGAAGAACACCCAUGGCGAAGGCAGCAUUCUGGGCUUGACCUGACGCUGAGGCACGAAAGCCAGGGGAGCGAACGGG
rnacentral:rRNA from 1 species